rnacentral:lncRNA from 10 species
AAAUUUUGCAUUGAUUCCCUGAAGAAGCAUUAAUAUGGGACCUGACUUAUAAAAUGAUGAACUCAAUCUCCCCACUCAAGAACUGCUGCUUAGCCUCCUGCCAGAUGAUGAACUGGGUACACACGAGCAUUUUUCCAGCAAGAAGAGUUGGCCCUUUGUAUCUGUGGUUUCUGCAUCCCUGGAUUCAACCAACUGUAGAUGGAAAAUAUUUGAAGAAAAAAGCGUCUAUACUGACACCCACAGAUCUCACCAAGAACCUAGCUGAAGCCUGUAGAAUGAAUAGGUAAGUACUGCCAUGCCAAUCUGGAGUACUCAAGCGAUGCAAAUGAUUCCUUUAAUUGUACUUUUGCAGGCUUGUCAGUUUUGCUCAUGGAGAAGUGGCUACUGCAUCCAUGUUAUAUCUAUGUAAUGUUGGACUGCGAAGCAUCACUUGACUUUUUCCAAGCAGAAAUUACAGCUGAUGACAAGCUGCUGCUGAGAAAAUGGAUAUUUUUCUGAAUUCAGUUCUACGUGGAAACAGCUGACUAGUUUCCAUUGCUGUAAGAUGGCUCUUUUGCUCUUGGUUGAUUUUGAGUAAUGGCUUUACUUCUGUAGAAAGGAGAUUUCAUUUGAAGUCCACUCAGGGAUUUGGUUCAACAAACUGGAGUACAGGUUUCAGAAAAU